GCGAGGGGGAAAAAAAAAAAAAAAAGGAAAGUUAAAAGGCAGAGCGAGAACCGAGCGAGCUUUCUAAAAAUCCGGCUUCUCCUUCUACGGCCGAAGGUAUUUUCUUUCCACGGGCAGAAAUAACUCUACCAAAACGAGACAGAUAUCCCCAAACCGAGACUUUCCUUUUGUUAUUAUGACUGUUUUUACAUAAGGGCGAGUAUGAACCAAACCGGCCGCUCGCAGGACGAGGGAGACGGCGCCGCAUCCCGGGAUCGCCCCGGCACGGAACGACUCCGGAACGGGGGAGCGUCGCCCUAGCGUAAAAACCACAUGAAAAGCGGCUUUGGGAGCGUGCAGAACUACCCCCGAGCGGGGAUACACGGGGGUGUCCGAAGCGGGGGCCGGGGGACCGAGACCCGCGGAGGAGCCGCUGCGCUCCCGGGGCGAUCCGCGGUGCUGCUGCCGGGGUAUCCCGGGCUGUCUGUGGGGCCAGGGCCGCCCCCGAGUGCCACCAGAAGCACUGGGGACAAUGCGGGGGGACGCGGUGUCCCCCCCAUGCCCUCUGGAAGAGAAAGAUGCUUUCCUCUGCCGUUUGCCUUCUGUACUAAAGAUGUCAUCUGAAAGUCUGGGAGGAAGGGGAGACCGUGCUCAGCUCUCUUCCACGAUUAUCGGAACCCUUUCAAAACUCACACAACAAAUACAGCCACCGCAUCUAAUGCAUCAUUUACCAGAGCAGAUCUCCGCGUUUGAUCGGCAGAUAGGCAAAAUCUAUGUAUUCCUUGCUGUACUUAGUAUGCAUGGACGCCGGGCUGCUGUGCACGCGGGGUGCCCCGCCGGGCCGGGACACCCCCGGGGCUCUCAGGAGACUGUCCCCUGCCCUUCCCCGACGCGGGGAGCGGGGUGCGAGAGCGAAGCACGGCGCAAGGUGGAUUUGGCUCCGUUGGGACCUGCGGAGGGGGAGGGGGGGGACACGAGGUGCCCGCCUUGCUCCGCGCAUCGCCGCCCGCACCAGCUGCUCCGCGCUGUGGGGCAGCCGGGCAGGACCCCAAAGCCGGCACCUCCGGCUCGGAGCUGGGCGAGACCCUCAUCCCACGGGCGGGACGGGGCACCCGGGGCAGCAAAACCCCACAGAAAGGGAAUUCCUCCCGCCUGGAGUUAGCCUGAACUCUGUCCACUCAGAGAAGCACCAGGCUCUUUCCUUUUUUCCCUUCCUUCUUUCCUUCCUUUCUUUUUUUUUUUUUCUUUUUCCUCCUUCUUCUUUUUUUCUUCUUUUCCAUAUUUUUUCUUCUUCUUUUAAACUUUUAAUUUUGUUUUUUUUUUUUCCUUCUCUAUUUUUUUUUUUAAUUGAUUCCUAUUCUGGCGAAUCCCAGAAUAACAACAAACACCACUCAGCCCUUGCUCCGGAGCAGGUGAUUCUACAGCGCUGAGCAGCCCUCACUGCCCCCUUCUUUCCCCGGCAGCCUCUGACCUCGUGCCCAGCUACCAAACAAGACGGCAUUUUAUUCUGCACACCGUAUGUCCCCAGCACAGCCCCACUACGGACACCGUGUCCGCAGUGCUGCCGUCCCCUUCCUCUGUCUGGCACCCACCCUGCGCUGGGUGGGGAGGGCUCAGCCGUCCCCUUCUCCAGGAAAAGGAGAGAAACUUUGGUGCGAAGUUGCGGGUGAGCAGCAGCCCUACCAGCCCCUGCCCGUGCACAAGAGUUUUGCAAAUGUUCAACUUGUACUAAUUUUUUUACAGUUGUAUUCACAGUUGUUCCCUGUAAAAAAUGGACCUGUGUUAGUUUAUUAAUAACCUAAACAUUACGUAUUAAAGACCUAUGAGUGACACAAGAUGACAAAAAGCUGUAUUUUUCCAAUAUACACAAGCACACAUUUAAUAACCUUCUAUUGCAUCUCAGCUAGGCCUUCUCUCUGAUGGUUCCCAUGGCAACCGAGAUAAAAAAGCAGCCAUUUUCCAUAUCUCUAUGAAAGUCUAUUAUAUUGCAGGAUUAGUUCAUCUUCUGCUAAGGUCAAACACAAAGUCAUACAACCUGAAAUAUUUAGAAUCCGUGUACAUUCAUUUUUUUAUAUGCCCUUUCAUUUCCCACAAAAGACGGGGCUCCUCUGAGGUUUUAUUCCCCGAGAAAAUGCUAAGCAAAGCAAUAAAAAAAAAUCACGAUUAG